UACAAUUCUUGCUUUUAAUCUUUGCCUACGAAUUGUGUCUACGAAGGUUCGUGGUACAAAAUUAACCAAAAUCGAAUGUGAGUCUUUCGAUACUACAGUUGUUCGACCCAUCACUUGCCAGGUUGUUAGAAAAAAUAACAAUUGUUCUAUAUUUGAUUUUCAUUUGGGGGUUAUGCAGAAACUCAAUGGCAUUGUGAUUACUGUCAAACUAUAUCGCAAGACCAACAGGAAAUUUCAACCCUUUCUUUUUGAAGAUGUUUUGGAUCUUUGCAGUCUUUUAAGCAAUGGUCUUACGUCGCGACAUUUAUUCUGGGGAACUUAUUAUGAGAAAUUUAGAAAGAUCAGCAAUAUAAAUCAUUCAUGUCCUUAUGAGCAUGAUAUUAUUAUCCAAAAUAUGCGAGUUGAUGAUGAUUUGUUCCAAAUAUUUCCCAUGCCCAAGGGAGAGUACAUGAUACAAUGGAUUUUAACAAUGAAUAAUGUGAAAUCUAUAAAGACUCUUUUGUAUUGUAUUCGAGUUUGAAGGAAAGACGUAUGGACGUAUAAAGAAAUUUUAGUUUUAUGGUAGAACCUUCAACAUUAA
rnacentral:sRNA from 1 species